rnacentral:rRNA from 1 species
UACGGAGGGGGCAAGCGUUGUUCGGAUUUACUGGGCGUAAAGGGUGUGUAGGCGGUUGCGCAAGUCUGGUGUGAAAUCUUCACCGCUUAACGGGAAGAGGUCACUGGAAACUGCGUAACUCGAGUGUGGUAGAGGCAAGCGGAAUUCCUGGUGUAGCGGUGGAAUGUGUAGAUAUCAGGAAGAACACCUGUGGCGAAGGCGGCUUGCUGGGCCACCACUGACGCUGAGACACGAAAGCGUGGGGAGCAAACGGG